UGCAGAAUCCCGUGAACCAUCGAGUCUUUGAACGCAAGUUGCGCCCGAAGCCUUCGGGCCGAGGGCACGUCUGCCUGGGCGUCACGC
rnacentral:rRNA from 2 species